rnacentral:misc_RNA from 1 species
GAAAUGCGAUAAGUAGUGUGAAUUGCAGAAUUCAGUGAAUCAUCUAAUCUUUGAACGCACAUUGCGCCCUUUGGUAUUCCUUAGGGCAUGCCUGUUCGAGCGUCAUCUAAACCUUCAAGCCCUGCUUGGUGUUGGGUGCCUGUCCCGCCUCCGCGCGCGGACUCACCUCAAAUCCAUUGGCGGCCCCCGCGUCGGCCACGAGCGCAGCAGAAACGCGAACUCGUGAGCCCGUCCGGGCGGCUCCCAGAAGCUACACCCACCCAGUUUGACCUCGGAUCAGGUAGGGAUACCCGCUGAACUUAAGC